rnacentral:lncRNA from 1 species
UUCUGCAUAUGCAGUAAAAAAAAGGAAGGAAAACCACUCCGAUCCACUAAACACACUUAAAGAAUAACUUUGGCUCAGAUACCAUCCAAAACCAAGAAUGUUACAUCAGUGACAGAGGGAUGGGAUGGAAAGAUAGCAGCAAUUGGAAACACUUUUCAUCUCUACCUUCUCUGAGGAAGGUGUCAGGUGUUGCCAUCUUGCAGAACCAGGAAGCUAUAAAAAAGAGCUCCAAGAUGGCUACUACCAUGAUCUUGUCUUGGAUGGUAAUGAUGGGUCUUCAUAUGCAGCUGGAUGCAGCAUCAAUACGUCCAACAACAGAUACAACUGUUCCAACAACAGUCCAGCCCAUUGGAAAGCUGGAGCUGAGUCUGACCGACGGGCCCGACCGCUGUGCAGGCAAUGUGGAAAUCGACUAUUUUGGAAUGAGCGCAAAAGUGUGUGGCUUCCAGUGGGACAUGAACGAUGCUCAGGUUGUGUGCAGGCAGCUUGGCUGCGGCUCACCUGUCAGCGUGAUGGAGUAUUUCUCCUCGAGCGAUUCAUAUCCAUGGUACCAGAGGACCGCGGUGGCUUGUGACGGCUCUGAAACCUCUUUGCUGUUUUGCCCUUCUGACUACGUGUCCUCCGAAUGCCAACACGGGACUGCUUCUGUCAUCUGCUCAGAUUCGGGAUUCCGAGUGCAAAAUGAAAUACCUGUUCCAACAGCAAUCGAGCCCUAUAAAAGUAAGUAG